CCCUAUUUAAAGGAGCUAUUACAAAUUCUUCAUCAAUAAAAAGCUCGACUAAUGUUUGUUCUUCCUCUUAAAAAGCUUCUUUUUCAUGUAAAUCUGAAUUUUUAUCCAUCUCUAAUCGGGUUGGUAUGUCAUAUACGCCUCUAGGCGUUAUUUUUUGUACGACAUACUAAUUACCUCGAUAUUUUAGAUCCUUCAAAUAUAUUAU
rnacentral:lncRNA from 1 species